rnacentral:rRNA from 1 species
UACGAAGGGUGCAAGCGUUACUCGGAAUUACUGGGCGUAAAGCGUGCGUAGGCGGUUCGUUAAGUCCGUUGUGAAAGCCCUGGGCUCAACCUGGGAAUGGCAGUGGAUACUGGCGAGCUAGAGUGUGAUAGAGGAUGGUGGAAUUCCCGGUGUAGCGGUGAAAUGCGUAGAGAUCGGGGAGGAACACCAGUGGCGAAGGCGGCCAUCUGGAUCAACACUGACGCUGAGGCACGAAAAGCGUGGGGGAGCAAACAGG